rnacentral:rRNA from 1 species
AUUGAACGCUGGCGGCAGGCCUAACACAUGCAAGUCGAACGAGGGGCGGACGGGUGAGCAAUGUCUGGGAAACUGCACGAUGGAGGGGGAUAACUACUGGAAACGGUAGCUAAUACCGCAUACUAUGGGAUGGGACCAGUUGGGAUUCGCUAGUAGGUGGGGUAACGGCUCACCUAGGCGACGAUCCCUAGCUGGUCUGAGAGGAUGACCAGCCACACUGGAACUGCGCCACGGUCCAGACUCCUACGGGAGGCAGCAGUGGGGAAUAUUGCACAGUGGGCGCAAGCCUGAUGCAGCCAUGCCGCGUGUAUGAAGAAUGCCUUCGGGUUGUAAAGUACUUUCAGCGAGGAGGCGUUACUCGAAGAAGAAGCAUCGGCUAACUCCGUGCCAGCCGCCGCGGUAAUUC